rnacentral:misc_RNA from 1 species
AACGCACCUUGCGCUCCUUGGUAUUCCGAGGAGCAUGCCUGUUUGAGUGUCAUCGAAGUCCUCAGACCGAAGCUUCGACCGCCCCGUCGGAGCCCAGGUUUGGAUCGUUGGGAGUCUGCGGGUCGAAACCCUCUGGGGAACGCCGGCUCUCCCGAAAAGCAUUAGCGGUGGGCGCGAGCCUUUGCGUGGCACGGCCUCUUCGACGUCGUAACGAUCGUCGUGGGCCGGAAGCGCAGGCGUGGACGCGUUCCAUGCUUCCCAACCUUGCGGGCCCCCCGUGGCCGCGCGUAUCGACGCUUGACCUCAGAUCAGGUAGGACUACCCGCCGAACUUAA